rnacentral:lncRNA from 1 species
UGAAGAUUCCAGAGGAUUUCAACACAGCAUAAUCAACGCAGCAAAAGAGCAGCAGCAGCUGACCCAGGGACAUCACUGGAGUGGGGAGCAAGUUUUAUGCACCUCCUGUCUGCCCCCUCCCUACAAAACAUCUACACAGGACUGAACAGAAAGGACGAUCGAUAAACACUUAACUGAUUUGUGGAGGAGAAAUAGUCCAAAGAGUUUCCCCAGAUCUCCUUGAAAACACCACACCUAUCAAUGACGGAAAACCACAGCCAGAAAAUAGGCACCUGAGGCUGGGCACAUCCUGAUGGAGUGGCUCUUGAGCUAGGAAAUCCACAAUGCAACACAGGCCUGAUUCAAGGACUUGAUCUCCGCAACCCCCUGCGGUUUGUGAAUAAUGUGAUUUUCUUAGGAAAAAAAGUCACUCUUACAUUUUCUUUGCGACUCCAUGAACAUUAUAUAUGUGGAACACCUCU